AAAUUGAAGAGUUUGAUCAUGGCUCAGAUUGAACGCUGGCGGCAGGCCUAACACAUGCAAGUCGAACGGUAACAGGAAGCAGCUUGCUGUUUCGCUGACGAGUGGCGGACGGGUGAGUAAUGUCUGGGAAACUGCCCGAUGGAGGGGGAUAACUACUGGAAACGGUAGCUAAUACCGCAUAAUGUCGCAAGACCAAAGAGGGGGACCUUCGGGCCUCUUGCCAUCGGAUGUGCCCAGAUGGGAUUAGCUAGUAGGUGGGGUAACGGCUCACCUAGGCGACGAUCCCUAGCUGGUCUGAGAGGAUGACCAGCCACACUGGAACUGAGACACGGUCCAGACUCCUACGGGAGGCAGCAGUGGGGAAUAUUGCACAAUGGGCGCAAGCCUGAUGCAGCCAUGCCGCGUGUAUGAAGAAGGCCUUCGGGUUGUAAAGUACUUUCAGCGGGGAGGAAGGGAGUAAAGUUAAUACCUUUGCUCAUUGACGUUACCCGCAGAAGAAGCACCGGCUAACUCCGUGCCAGCAGCCGCGGUAAUACGGAGGGUGCAAGCGUUAAUCGGAAUUACUGGGCGUAAAGCGCACGCAGGCGGUUUGUUAAGUCAGAUGUGAAAUCCCCGGGCUCAACCUGGGAACUGCAUCUGAUACUGGCAAGCUUGAGUCUCGUAGAGGGGGGUAGAAUUCCAGGUGUAGCGGUGAAAUGCGUAGAGAUCUGGAGGAAUACCGGUGGCGAAGGCGGCCCCCUGGACGAAGACUGACGCUCAGGUGCGAAAGCGUGGGGAGCAAACAGGAUUAGAUACCCUGGUAGUCCACGCCGUAAACGAUGUCGACUUGGAGGUUGUGCCCUUGAGGCGUGGCUUCCGGAGCUAACGCGUUAAGUCGACCGCCUGGGGAGUACGGCCGCAAGGUUAAAACUCAAAUGAAUUGACGGGGGCCCGCACAAGCGGUGGAGCAUGUGGUUUAAUUCGAUGCAACGCGAAGAACCUUACCUGGUCUUGACAUCCACAGAACUUUCCAGAGAUGGAUUGGUGCCUUCGGGAACUGUGAGACAGGUGCUGCAUGGCUGUCGUCAGCUCGUGUUGUGAAAUGUUGGGUUAAGUCCCGCAACGAGCGCAACCCUUAUCCUUUGUUGCCAGCGGUCCGGCCGGGAACUCAAAGGAGACUGCCAGUGAUAAACUGGAGGAAGGUGGGGAUGACGUCAAGUCAUCAUGGCCCUUACGACCAGGGCUACACACGUGCUACAAUGGCGCAUACAAAGAGAAGCGACCUCGCGAGAGCAAGCGGACCUCAUAAAGUGCGUCGUAGUCCGGAUUGGAGUCUGCAACUCGACUCCAUGAAGUCGGAAUCGCUAGUAAUCGUGGAUCAGAAUGCCACGGUGAAUACGUUCCCGGGCCUUGUACACACCGCCCGUCACACCAUGGGAGUGGGUUGCAAAAGAAGUAGGUAGCUUAACCUUCGGGAGGGCGCUUACCACUUUGUGAUUCAUGACUGGGGUGAAGUCGUAACAAGGUAACCGUAGGGGAACCUGCGGUUGGAUCACCUCCUUACCUUAAAGAA
rnacentral:rRNA from 1 species